rnacentral:rRNA from 1 species
AGAGUUUGAUCAUGGCUCAGGAUGAACGCUAGCUACAGGCUUAACACAUGCAAGUCGCGGGGCAGCAUGAAUUUAGCUUGCUAAAUUUGAUGGCGACCGGCGCACGGGUGAGUAACGCGUAUCCAACCUUCCCCUGUCCACGGGAUAGCCCGUCGAAAGGCGGAUUAAUACCGUAUGAGGUCACAUGACGGCAUCAGAGUGUGACGAAAGGUUUGGCGGACGGGGAUGGGGAUGCGUCCGAUUAGCUAGUUGGCGGGGUAACGGCCCACCAAGGCGACGAUCGGUAGGGGUUCUGAGAGGAAGGUCCCCCACAUUGGAACUGAGACACGGUCCAAACUCCUACGGGAGGCAGCAGUGAGGAAUAUUGGUCAAUGGGCGAGAGCCUGAACCAGCCAAGUAGCGUGCAGGACGACGGCCCUAUGGGUUGUAAACUGCUUUUAUGCGGGGAUAACGUGCGCCACGUGUGGUGUAUUGCAGGUACCGCAUGAAUAAGGACCGGCUAAUUCCGUGCCAGCAGCCGCGGUAAUACGGAAGGUCCGGGCGUUAUCCGGAUUUAUUGGGUUUAAAGGGAGCGUAGGCCGCUGUUUAAGCGUGUUGUGAAAAACCGGGGCUCAACUCCGGUCGUGCAGCGCGAACUGGACGGCUUGAGUGCGCGGUAAGUGGGCGGAAUUUGUGGUGUAGCGGUGAAAUGCUUAGAUAUCACGAAGAACUCCGAUUGCGAAGGCAGCUCACUGUAGCGCAACUGACGCUGAAGCUCGAAAGUGCGGGUAUCGAACAGGAUUAGAUACCCUGGUAGUCCGCACGGCAAACGAUGGAUGCCCGCUGUUCCGGCAAUAGCUGGAGUGGCCAAGCGA